ensembl:snoRNA SNORD27 Small nucleolar RNA SNORD27
GUUCAGUGAUGAAUUCAAACAGACAAGCAUAUGGCUGAGUGUCUGUGAUGCCAGUUUACUUCUGAGAAC